GAUGAACGCUGGCGGCGUGCCUAAUACAUGCAAGUCGAGCGAAUGGAUUGAGAGCUUGCUCUUAUGAAGUUAGCGGCGGACGGGUGAGUAACACGUGGGUAACCUGCCCAUAAGACUGGGAUAACUCCGGGAAACCGGGGCUAAUACCGGAUAACAUUUUGAACCGCAUGGUUCGAAAUUGAAAGGCGGCUUCGGCUGUCACUUAUGGAUGGACCCGCGUCGCAUUAGCUAGUUGGUGAGGUAACGGCUCACCAAGGCAACGAUGCGUAGCCGACCGGAGAGGGUGAGCGGCCACACUGGGGCUGGGACACGGCCCAGACUCCUACGGGAGGCAGCAGUAGGGGAUCUUCCGCAAUGGACGAAAGUCUGACGGAGCAACGCCGCGUGAGUGAUGAAGGCUUUCGGGUCGUAAAACUCUGUUGUUAGGGAAGAACAAGUGCUAGUUGAAUAAGCUGGCACCUUGACGGUACCUAACCAGAAAGCCACGGCUAACUACGUGCCAGCCGCCGCCGUAA
rnacentral:rRNA from 1 species